GAUGAACGCUGGCGGCGUGCUUAACACAUGCAAGUCGAACGGAAAGGCCCAAGCUUGCUUGGGUACUCGAGUGGCGAACGGGUGAGUAACACGUGGGUGAUCUGCCCUGCACUUCGGGAUAAGCCUGGGAAACUGGGUCUAAUACCGGAUAGGACCACUUCUUGGAUGUUGUGGUGGAAAGUUUUUUCGGUGUGGGGUGAGCUCGCGGCCUAUCAGCUUGUUGGUGGGGUAAUGGCCUACCAAGGCGUCGACGGGUAGCCGGCCUGAGAGGGUGUACGGCCACAUUGGGACUGAGAUACGGCCCAGACUCCUACGGGAGGCAGCAGUGGGGAAUAUUGCACAAUGGGCGCAAGCCUGAUGCAGCGACGCCGGGUGGGGGAUGACGGCCUUCGGGUUGUAAACUCCUUUCGCUAGGGACGAAGCGUUUUGUGACGGUACCUGGAGAAGAAGCACCGGCUAACUACGUG
rnacentral:rRNA from 1 species